CUUCCUCCGGAGGGUUUAUCCCGAUUCCCCAUUUUAACCAAUAGCGAAUAGAGAGAGAAUAUAAGAGAGAGAGAGAGAGUGUUGGUCUGUGCAUAUCGAGCUUGCAGAAGAAAAUAGUCCGUACAUCUCCCCGAAAAAUCUCUAGGGUUUUAAGCUGGGUCACGGGAUAGCUAUUGAGUCUCGUAUCGAUUUUACAGAGUUAAGAGUUAGGGUUAAGGUUAAGGGUUGUAUUUAUCUAACUUUUCGGUUUCUUCUGUGUUUAUGAAAUUUUCGCUCUCCAUGCUCUAAAACGAUUCGUUUUUAGAGGCUUUUGUUUUGGAAACUGGGUGUAUGAGAUAUAGGGUUUCGUAUUUGAUGGACGAGAUCUGGGAGCGGGCGGUGGAGACAGCGCUAGACGGCCAAACCGACCAUGCCUCUGCUCGAACCCUAACCUUAGACGGCGCCGUUAAGUGCGUCCAAGGUCGGCUGCCCCCUCCGAGUCUCCUUGAAAGGUUCCAGAACCUUCAGCACCUAUCUAUUGCCAACAUCGGCGUUUCGUCCCUCGAGCAGUUUCCUCGCCUCCGAAGCCUCCAGAAGCUCAUCCUCUCCGAUAAUCGGAUCGCCAGCGGACUCGAAUUCCUCGUCGAAGCUGGACUCGACUCGCUCCGAGACCUAGACCUCUCCAACAAUCGGAUUCAAUACAUCGAGGAUCUCGCCCCGCUCGCCCCGCUCAAGCUCGUCUCGCUCGAUCUCUAUGAGUGCCCCGUUACGCGAGUCAAGGAUUAUCGAUCUAGGGUUUUUGGGUUGAUCAAAUCGUUGAAGUAUUUGGAUAAGAUGGAUGCGGAGGAGAACGAGCGGCCCGAGUCUGAUGACGAGGAGGAAGACGAAGACGACGAGGAGGAUGACCCAGGGAGUGGCGAAAUCGACGGCGAGGAUCGGCCCUAUGGAAUGAAUAACGGACACAGUCAGGGGAUGGAAGGAGUUGUCGACGUUGACGAGGAUGAAGAGAGCGAUGCCGAUGAGGAAGAGACAGAAACGGCGAGGAGAGUGAGCCGGCCAAAUCAUCAGGCUAAUGGGUUUCGGUAUGAGCAUGUGGAGGGCGAGGGUGUUGAUGAGGAUGAAGAUGACGGCGAUGAUGAUGAAUACAAUGAGUCAGGGGAGGAAAUCGACGAGGAGGGUGACGAUGACGAUGUGGUCGAGGUGCAUGAGAUUGAGGACAGUGAUGAAGAGGAAGAUGGGGUCGAGUAUGAUGAGGACGGGGAGGACGAGGAUGAUGAAGAUGAAGAUGAAGAGGAAGUGGACAAUGACGAGGGGGACUUUGCAGAGCUGGAGAGUACGGGGCGGUUGACGAGCAUGGAAGGGGAGAUUGAUGGGCAUGAGCAGGGUGAGGAUGAUGCGGACGAGGAUGAAAAUGGUGAGACUGGGGAGGAAGAGCAUGGUGUUGAAGAAGACGUAGAGUUUGAGGACGAAGAAGAGGGUGAGGAGGAGGAGGAAGACUAUGGUGCGGGCUACUUAGUUCAACCAGUGGGGCAGGCUGAAGAAGGUGACACCGGAGGUAGUGUGAUGGAACCGGGAAAUGAGGAUGAUGAUUCUGAAGAGAAGGAAGAAGUUGAGGACGAUGACGAUGAUGUUCAGGUGGUGCCUCCCUCUUCUUCGCAACUUAAGAGGAAAAGGGAUGAAGAUGCAGAAGAGGAUGACAUCGGCGAGGACGAUGAAGAAGAAGAUGAUAUUGUCGACUUCAGCAAGUCAUCGAAGAAGCAUCGUUAGCACUCAGCUUAAAUCUCCUAUGUCGUCAAUGUUAUGUUAAAAUGUCCUUCAAACAUGGAAACAGGGAAGUAGGCCAGGUGGCAAUAGGAUUAUGGAAAUUUUACAGAUGCUGGGAUAGCGUGACAUGCGUCCUGGAAACUUGGGUAUUUUCUUCGAUCCAACGGUGGGAAGCGUAACUAUAUUGGUGAAGCAGCUCAGCUUAACCGUCUGUAUUUCCUUGCAUUGGAUGGGAAAGGAAGUCCCCUAUGUAAUGAUGCGGGUGGUGGAUGUCUGUGUGACAGUCAAUUUUUUAUAUAAUUAUCUUUACCUAAGAAGAGCGAGGCCGUGUCUGUCAGUGCGGUCGAGCCACUUUAGCCACUUCUCCAGCUAAGCUUAAUAAAUCCGAUGGAUGCGAUGCGGCUUUACUUUCAUAUGAUGGCUCGCAAAGCUUUUUCACGACCCUAAUCAGCCGAUGUUAGUUAGCUAAUCUAUCCCGAGUUAUGCAGCAGUAAUACGGCGUCGUACCCUGUUUCGUGUCCAUGGGCCGCGCGCGGGGCUCAUAACUCAAGUGUCAAGACAGCUUUUAUGAGCCAUUCCAAAGCAGCUAUGCCAUACCCUGGCCAAGCCUAACAAGCUACAGCUACAUGCUGCCAAAUUCAACGGUCAAUC